CGACGCCGCGUGUGGGAAGACAGGGCUCUGCCCCGUAAACCACUGUCAGUAGGGACGAAAAGCCUCCUUGGGGGGCUGGGACGGUACCUGCAGAGGAAGGAUCGGCUAACUACGUGCCAGCAGCCGCGGUAAUACGUAGGAUCCAAGCGUUGUCCGGAUUUACUGGGUGUAAAGGGUGCGCGGGUGGACUCGUGCGUCAGGGGUUAAAUGUCACGGCUCAACCGUGAACCUGCCUCUGAUACGGCGAGUCUUGAGUGCGAGAGAGGAUGGUAGAAUUCCUGGUGUAGCGGUGAAAUGCGUAGAUAUCAGGAGGAAUACCAGUGGCGAAGGCGGCCAUCUGGCUCGCAACUGACACUUAGGCACGAAAGCGUGGGGAGCGAACAGGAUUAGAUACCCUGGUAGUCCACGCCCUAAACGAUGUAUGCUUGGUGUUGGGAUCGCAAGAUCUCAGUGCCGGAGGUAACCC
rnacentral:rRNA from 1 species